GACGUAGGGGGCCAGCGUUGUUCGGAAUUACUGGGUGUAAAGGGUUCGUAGGCGGUGCGGUAAGUUGGGAGUGAAAUCUCUGGGCUUAACUCAGAGGCUGCUUCCAAAACUACCGUGCUAGAGUGCGAGAGAGGCAAGUGGAAUUGCGGGUGUAGCGGUGAAAUGCGUAGAUAUCCGCAGGAACAUCCGAGGCGAAAGCGGCUUGCUGGAUCGCAACUGACGCUGAGGGACGAAAGCGAGGGGAGCAAACAGG
rnacentral:rRNA from 1 species